AUCGCUUCUUGGCCUUUUGGCUAAUUUCAAGUGUAGUAUCUGUUUUUAUCAGUUUAACAUCUGAUACUUCCUCUAUUCCAGGACAAAAUAUUAAGUGGAUUUUUGGAGCCUGGAAUUGGAAUAGAAACUUGCUCUGUCCACUCUGUGCAUCGACCUGGUGUUGCAGUACCUCCAGGAACAGUGCAUGCCCU